GUGUUUCAGGUUCUGAUCUUCAGAUGACUGAGACAAACAGUCCCCUUAAACGAUCCCUUAAUGACGUGUUCGUUUGGAGUUCGGUAGUCCCGAUUGGAGUUUCGUGAAUGUGUUUAUGGUGACGCCAAUUCUUAAACAAUGAAACUGAUAAACUAAUAUUCUGUUGCUGCU